rnacentral:rRNA from 1 species
UACGUAGGGUGCGAGCGUUAACCGGAAUUACUGGGCGUAAAGCGUGCGCAGGCGGGUCGUUUUGGCGGCGGGGAAAUCCCCGGGCUUAACCUGGGAACUGCAUUUGUGACUGCAUCGCUGGAGUGCGGCAGAGGGGGAUGGAAUUCCGCGUGUAGCAGUGAAAUGCGUAGAUAUGCGGAGGAACACCGAUGGCGAAGGCAAUCCCCUGGGCCUGCACUGACGCUCAUGCACGAAAGCGUGGGGAGCAAACAGG